rnacentral:rRNA from 1 species
GUUGUGGUUAAAAAGCUCGUAGUUGGAUCUCAACAGCCUUGAAGCGGUUAACUUUGUAGUUUUACUGCUUUAUAGGCUGUGCUUUUGCUGGAGGUUUAGGGGUGCUCUUGAUCGAGUGUCUCUGGAUGCCAGCAGGUUUACUUUGAAAAAAUUAGAGUGCUCAAAGCAGGCUAAAAUGCCUGAAUAUUCGUGCAUGGAAUAAUAGAAUAGGAUGUCGAUCCUAUUUUGUUGGUUUUCGGGACUCGACAUAAUGAUAAAUAGGGACAGUCGGGGGCAUUUGUAUUCAAACGACAGAGGUGAAAUUCUUGGACCGUUUGAAGACAAACUACUGCGAAAGCAUUUGCCAAGAAUGUUUUCAUUAAUCAAGAACGAAAGUUAGAGGUUCGAAGGCGAUUAGAUACCGCCCUAGUUCUAACCAUAAACGAUGCCAGCUAGCGAUCUGCCUGCGUUUUUACUGUAGACUGGGCAGGAAGCUUCCGGGAAACCAAAGCAUUUGGGUUCCAGGGGAAGUAUGGUUGCAAAGCUGAAACUUAAAGGAAUUGACGGAAGGGCACCACCAGGAGUGGAGCCUGUGGCUUAAUUUGACUCAACACUGGAAAUCUCACCAGGCCCGGACACUGGAAGGAUUGACAGAUUGAUAGCUCUUUCUUGAUUCGGUGGGUGGUGG